UUUCCUUUCUUCACUCUUCUUUCCUUUCUUCUUUCCUUCUUCCACUCUUCUUUCCUUCUUCCUCACUUCUUUCCUUCUUUUACUCUUCUUCCACUCUUCUUUCGUUCUUUCACUCUUCUUUUUUUUUUCUUCCUUUCUUAACUUUUGCAUUUCAUGCACUGGUAUUUCCUUCAGGAAAUGCAUUUUCUAGUUAUUAUUCUUUGUACCGAACUUCUGCGCUUAAUUCAGCUCGAACCGCUUAACUUAGAAACUUUGUUCAAACUUUGCUGCGUAGGUCUUGUAAAGGACACUUAUGCUAUGUAUUUUUCAUUUUUCUAAACUUUAUACUUUUUAAAAUGUUAAAUAAAAACUAAUACAAUUUCUCCCAUUGACUUACAUUGGGCCAUUAUGACAUCAUAAUAGGGUCUUUAAACUGGCUUGCACCUGUGCUUCACUGACACCUGCGCCAAGGUUCCAAGGCUCCUCUUCUCUCUGUCCCUCUCCAUUCAACUGUAUAACUAGGAAUACUAAUAGACACCUUCCAUACUCUACUUUUUUUUUCUCUCCAUCUUUCUCUCUAUCCCUCUGUCUACUUUCGCUCAAACUCCAUCUCUCUGCUUCACUCAAUUUUCUCUCCUUUCUUCAUUCCUUCUACCACUCUUCUUUUCUUUCUUCUUUCUUUCUUCCACUCUUCUUUCCUUUCUUCUUUCCUUCUUUCACUUCUUUCUUUUCGUCUUUCCUUCUUCCACUCUUCCUUACUUCUUCCACUCUCCUUUCCUUUCUUCUUUCCUUCUUCCACUCUUCUUUCCUUCUUCUACUCUUCUUUUCUUUCUUCACUCUUCUUUCCUUUUUUCCACUCUUCUUUCCUUCUUCCACUCUUCUUUUCUUCUUCCACUCUUCUUUUCUUUCUUCGCUUCUUUCCUUCUUUCACUCUUCUUUCUUUUCUUCAUUCUUGUUUCCUUUAUUCUUUCCUUUAUUAUUUCCUUCUUCCACUCUUCUUUCCUUCUUUUACUCUUCUUUCCUUUCUUCUUUCCUUCUUUCACUCUUCUUUCUUUUCUUCUUCCUUUCUUAACUUUUGCAUUUCAUGC
ensembl:lncRNA